rnacentral:rRNA from 1 species
UACGGGGGAUGCAAGCGUUAUCCGGAAUCAUUGGGCGUAAAGCGCCUGUAGGUUGUUUAAUAAGUCUAUUGUUAAAGACUAGGGCUUAACCCUAGAAAAGCAAUGGAAACUACUAGACUCGAGUAUGGCAGGGGUAGAGGGAAUUUCUAGUGUAGCGGUGAAAUGCGUAGAUAUUAGAAAGAACACCAGCGGCGAAAGCGCUCUACUGGACCAUUACUGACACUCAGAGGCGAAAGCUAGGGUAGCAAAAGGGAUUAGAUACCCCUGUAGUCCUAGCCGUAAACGAUGGAUACUGGAUGUUGUACAUAAAGUACAGUAUCGUAGCUAACGCGUUAAGUAUCCCGCCUGGGGAGUACGCUCGCAAGGGUG